AUGGGAAAGACUAGAGAUCUCUUCAAGAAAAUUAGAGAUACCAAGGGAACAUUUCAUGCAAAGAUGGGCUCGAUAAAGGACAGAAAUCGUCUGGACCUAACAGAAGCAGAAGAUAUUAAGAAGAGGUGGCAAGAAUGCACAGAAGAACUGUACAAAAAAGAUCUUCAUGACUCGGAUAAUCACGAUGGUGUGAUCACUAACCUAGAUCCAGACAUCUUGGAAUGUGAAGUCAAGUGGGCCUUAGAAAGCAUCACUACAAACAAAGCUAGUGGUGGUGAUGGAAUUCCAGUUGAGCUGUUUCAAAUCCUGAAAGAUGAUGUUGUGAAAGUGCUGCACUCAAUAUGCCAGCAAAUUUGGAAAACUCAGCAGUGGCCACAGGACUGGAAAAGGUCAGUUUUCACUCCAAUUCCAAAGAAAGGCAAUGCCAAAGAAUGCUCAAACUACUGCACAAUUGCACUCAUCUCACAUGCUAGUAAAGUAAUGUUCAAAAUUCUCCAAGCCAGGCUUCAGCAAUACGUGAACCAUGAACUUCCUGAUGUUCAAGCUGGUUUUAGAAAAGGCAGAGGAACCAGAGAUCAAAUUGCCAACAUCCGUUGGAUCAUGGAAAAAGAAAGAGAUUUCCAGAAAAACAUCUAUUUCUGCUUUAUUGACUAUGCCAAAGCCUUUGACGGUGCGGAUAACAAUAAACUGUGGAACAUUCUGAAAGAGAUGGGAAUACCAGACCACCUGACCUGCCUCUUGAGAAAUCUGUAUGCAGGCCAGGAAGCAACAGUUAGAACUGGACAUGGAACAGACUGGUUCCAAAAAGGAAAAGGACUAUGUCAAGGCUGUAUAUUGUCACCCUGCUUAUUUAACUUCUAUGCAGAGUACCUCAUGAGAAACGCUGGGCUGGAAGAAACACAAGCUGGAAUCAAGAUUGCCAGGAGAAAUAUCAAUAACCUCAGAUAUGUAGAUGACACCACCCUUAUGGCAGAAAGUGAAGAGGAACUAAAAAGCCUCUUGAUGAAAGUGAAAGUGGAGAGUGAAAAAGUUGGCCUAAAGCUCAACAUUCAGAAAACAAAGAUCAUGGCAUCUGGUCCCAUCACUUCAUGGGAAAUAGAUGGGGAAACAGUGGAAACAGUCUCAGACUUUAUUUUCUGGGGCUCCAAAAUCACUGCAGAUGUUGACUGUAGCCAUGAAAUUAAAAGAUGCUUACUCCUUGGAAGGAAAGUUAUGAUCAACCUAGAUAGUAUAUUCCAAAGCAGAGACAUUACUUUGCUGACUAAGGUCCAUCUAGUCAAGACUAUGUUUUUUCCAGUGGUCAUCUAUGGAUGUGAGAGUUGGACUGUGAAGAAGGCAGAGCGCCGAAGAAUUGAUGCAUUUGAACUGUGGUGUUGGAGAAGACUCUUGAGAGUGCCUUGGACCGAAAGGAGAUCCAACCAGUCCAUUCUGAAGAUCAGCCCUGGGAUUUCUUUGGAAGGAAUGAUGCUAAAGCUGAAACUCCAGUCCUUUGGCCACCUCAUGUGA
rnacentral:lncRNA from 1 species